rnacentral:lncRNA from 1 species
CUUGAAGACAUCUGAGAGUUCACGCCACAGGCUGUGUUUGAGCACAGGGCUCUGCCUGGGUGGGCCAGAUGGAGGUCAGUGACAUGAGGGAGCUGGGUACAUUGGGAGCUGCCCAGGGGUCUGGCAGGAGACCAGGAGGCAGGGGCUGUACCAAGAGGACGGGCCAGAGGCAGAGGAAGCUGUGCUGUGAGUUUCCAGGGUGGGCAGUGACCUCUGAUUGAUAACCUGACCCCAAAUGGAAACCUGGACGGUGCCCUGACUGCUGUCUCUGCUGCUGUUCUCUUCCCAGGAUGGAGCCUCUUCUAACCUGCCCACCUCAUCUCUCCUUCUCCCCUUGCCCACUCUGGCCCUUCCGUCCUUUCCUGAGGCCAAGAAGUGGGAGCAGGAGGGAAGUGAGGGACCGGCUCCACCACCGACCUUGGAGUGUGGAGCUGACAGGUCCACCGGGCUGUGCCAGGCCUGAGGCUCCUCUGUGAUCAGGCAGUGGGCAACACCAAGCCAGGCCUCUUCAGAGAGAAUGCUGAGGACGGGGCAGGAGGGUGCCCAGGGAGCCACGCCGUGGCGGAGCCUGACUGUGCUCUGGGCGGCCCACUGCCUGGGGCAGGGGAGACAAUCCCAUCCUCAUGCCUCCUGGGAAAGCAGCACCAGGCACA